AUACUAACCUGGCGUAGGGGAUGCCGAGAUCAUGCAGGCGGUUCCCCCAGGACAAGUUUGCUCCAUUGCACUGCGGAGUGGUUGACCCUUGCGAUCAUUUUUAUUUUUAUCAAUAAAAAAAACAUAAAUUUAUAAAAAAAUGUAUACCCGAAUAAUUAUUUU